rnacentral:rRNA from 1 species
UUCCGGUUGAUCCUGCCGGACCUUACUGCUAUCGGGGUAAGACUAAAACAUGCAGGUUGUGCGUCCUGAGCAAUGGUGGGACGCAGCGUACGGCUCAGUAACACGUGGCUAACCUACCCUUAGGACCGGAACAACCCCGGGAAACUGGGACUAAUUCCGGAUAAGUGAGGAGGCCUGGAAUGGUUUCUCACUAAAAGGGCGUUAGGAGCAUGCUUCCUUUCGUUGCCUAAGGAUGGGGCCGCGGCCGAUCAGGUUGUUGGUGAGGUAAAGGCUCACCAAGCCUAUAACCGGUACGGGCCAUGAGAGUGGGAGCCCGGAGAUGGGCACUGAGACAAGGGCCCAGGCCCUACGGGGCGCAGCAGUUGCGAAAACUCCGCAAUGCGCGAAAGCGUGACGGGGUUAACCCGAGUGCUAUCCGCUGAGGGUAGCUUUUUUCUGGUGUAAUGAGUCAGACGAAUAAGGGGAGGGCAAGACUGGUGUCAGCCGCCGCGGUAAUACCAGCUCCCCGAGUGGUAGGGACGAUUAUUGGGCUUAAAGCGUCCGUAGCUGGCUUGACAAGUCUUUCGUUAAAUCCAGCGACCUAAUCGUUGGUCUGCGGGAGAUACUAUCUAGCUUGGGGGCGGAAGAGGUCGACGGUACUCUCGGGGUAGGGGUGAAAUCCUAUAAUCCUGAGAAGACCACCAGUGGCGAAAGGCGGUCGGCUAGAACGCGCUCGACGGUGAUGGACGAAAGCUGGGGUAGCAAACCGGAUUAGAUACCCGGGUAGUCCCAGCCGUAAACGAUGCGGGCUAGGUGUCGGAGUGGAUACGAGCCGCUUCGGUGCCGCAGGGAAACUGUUAAGCCUGCCGCCUGGAAGUACGGUCGCAAGGCUGAAACUUAAAGGAAUUGGCCGGGGAGCACUACAAGGCGUGAGCUUGCGUUUAUUGACUCACGCCG